GAUGAACGCUGGCGGCGUGCCUAAUACAUGCAAGUCGAGCGAACAGACGAGGAGCUUGCUCCUCUGACGUUAGCGGCGGACGGGUGAGUAACACGUGGAUAACCUACCUAUAAGACUGGGAUAACUUCGGGAAACCGGAGCUAAUACCGGAUAAUAUAUUGAACCGCAUGGUUCAAUAGUGAAAGACGGUUUUGCUGUCACUUAUAGAUGGAUCCGCGCCGCAUUAGCUAGUUGGUAAGGUAACGGCUUACCAAGGCAACGAUGCGUAGCCGACCUGAGAGGGUGAUCGGCCACACUGGAACUGAGACACGGUCCAGACUCCUACGGGAGGCAGCAGUAGGGAAUCUUCCGCAAUGGGCGAAAGCCUGACGGAGCAACGCCGCGUGAGUGAUGAAGGUCUUCGGAUCGUAAAACUCUGUUAUUAGGGAAGAACAAAUAUGUAAGUAACUAUGCACGUCUUGACGGUACCUAAUCAGAAAGCCACGGCUAACUACGU
rnacentral:rRNA from 1 species